rnacentral:rRNA from 1 species
GACGAACGCUGGCGGCGUGCCUAAUACAUGCAAGUCGAACGCAUUUUCUUUCACCGUAGCUUGCUACACCGAAAGAAAAUGAGUGGCGAACGGGUGAGUAACACGUGGGUAACCUGCCCAUCAGCGGGGGAUAACACUUGGAAACAGGUGCUAAUACCGCAUAAUUCCAUUUACUGCAUGGUAGAUGGAUGAAAGGCGCUUUUGCGUCACUGAUGGAUGGACCCGCGGUGCAUUAGCUAGUUGGUGGGGUAACGGCCUACCAAGGCUGCGAUGCAUAGCCGACCUGAGAGGGUGAUCGGCCACACUGGGACUGAGACACGGCCCAGACUCCUACGGGAGGCAGCAGUAGGGAAUCUUCGGCAAUGGGCGCAAGUCUGACCGAGCAACGCCGCGUGAGUGAAGAAGGUUUUCGGAUCGUAAAACUCUGUUGUUAGAAAAGAACAAGGAUGAGAGUGGAAAGUUCAUCCCUUGACGGUAUCUAACCAGAAAGCCACGGCUAACUACGUG